rnacentral:rRNA from 1 species
CAGCAGCCGCGGUAAUACGGAGGGGGCUAGCGUUGUUCGGAAUUACUGGGCGUAAAGCGCACGUAGGCGGCUUUGUAAGUUAGAGGUGAAAGCCCGGAGCUCAACUCCGGAAUUGCCUUUGAGACUGCAGAGCUAGCAGGUGAGAGAGGUGAGUGGAAUUCCGAGUGUAGAGGUGAAAUUCGUAGAUAUUCGGAAGAACACCAGUGGCGAAGGCGGCUCACUGGCUCAUACUGGACGCUGAGGUGCGAAAGCGUGGGGAGCAAACAGGAUUAGAUACCCCCGUAGUCCCUGUCUCUUAUAC